rnacentral:lncRNA from 1 species
UUGCAAUUUAAAAUAAAUGGUUUGAACUCAGAAAGUUAUCAAUAUAUAUAGAGAGUACAGAUAAUGUUUUAAUUGGGCAUUUGGGAAUAUUUGCCUGUUAAUUGAAGAUAUAAUUAUUAUAUGCCUUUUCAAAUAUAUGUGUGGCUCUGAACUAGCUGUGGUUUAAAAUCUAAGAAUGGAGUUGGUUAUCUCCAUAUUUAUCUGAUUUAUAUCAACAUCAUUGAUCCAUUAUAUAUACACAUAUAUAAAUCAUUGUAAUACAUGUACAUUACUUUGCUCUUCAUAUGCCCUUUAAUUUGAAUAAAAUAUCUUGUCUUAUACC